UCUGUUUCUAACCUGCCCUCCUACCCAGCAUGUUAGAAACCAGUUAAACUUGUUUGACAGAAAGGCAUGUAAAGGCUGAGUCCUCAGCAAGUUCUAUAUCGAAUCCAAGGAGUCUGAGCAAAGCUGGGAAGUCUGUGACCUCUAUUUUCACCACUCAGAUGGACUUCUUGCAGCUCGAUAGUUUGGAGCUCCAGGUUUAGACGGGCAGUGGCUGACUUUUCAUGAUGUCCAACACCUCUCUGCAUUGAUCCUGCAACUGACGUGAGCCAUGCCAAUGUUUUCUUGGAUAUAAUUAAAUGUUUCUGGUCUUUCAUUCGCUGCCUCAGCCAGGACCUGAGUGUCCACCAAGUGUCGGCCUUGCGGACAUGAUGGUGCCGCAGAGCGAACAGGCGGGUCUGGUUCCUGCCCUCAGGGAGCUUACUGUCCCGCCAGGAAGAGCACAGGAUGUGACACAGAGAUGAUCUGGGACAUACGGACUUAGUCUUAUGGUCCAGUAACUAAAAGAAGGAAGAUGUGGCUGGUACGUCAAAGGAGGGAGAGAGACUCUCGUACACAGGGGUUCACAGGGGGAGACGGGGCCACAUCACAAAAGACCUGAUGUGCUGAAGUUUUGGUGUUUUAAGUGCCAGGGGUAUAACUCACCCGGUCAUUUCUUAAUCCAAACUUUUAUUUUU